GGAUUAGGCAUGCAAGUCGAACGGUGAAGCGGGAGCUUGCUCCUGUGGAUCAGUGGCGAACGGGUGAGUAACACGUGAGUAACCUGCCCCAGACUCUGGGAUAACCAUGAGAAAUCGUGGCUAAUACCGGAUACGAGACGCACACGCAUGUGCAGCGUCUGGAAAGAACUUCGGUCUGGGAUGGACUCGCGGCCUAUCAGCUUGUUGGUGAGGUAAUGGCUCACCAAGGCGACGACGGGUAGCCGGCCUGAGAGGGCGACCGGCCACACUGGGACUGAGACACGGCCCAGACUUCUACGGGAGGCAGCAGUGGGGAAUAUUGCACAAUGGGCGAAAGCCUGAUGCAGCGACGCCGCGUGAGGGAUGAAGGCCUUCGGGUUGUAAACCUCUUUCAGCAGGGAAGAAGCGAAAGUGACGGUACCUGCAGAAGAAGCGCCGGCUAACUACGUGCCAGCAGCCGCGGUAAUACGUAGGGCGCAAGCGUUGUCCGGAAUUAUUGGGCGUAAAGAGCUCGUAGGCGGUCUGUCGCGCCUGCUGUGAAAACCCGAGGCUCAACCUCGGGCUUGCAGUGGAUACGGGCAGACUAGAGUGCGGUAGGGGAGACUGGAAUUCCUGGUGUAGCGGUAAAAUGCACAGAUAUCAGGAGGAACACCGAUGGCGAAGGCAGGUCUCUGGGCCGCAACUGACGCUGAGGAGCGAAAGCAUGGGUAGCAAACAGGAUUAGAUACCCUGGUAGUCCAUGCCGUAAACGUUGGGCACUAAGUAGAGGGGUUUUA
rnacentral:rRNA from 1 species